UACGUAUGUCGCAAGCGUUAUCCGGAAUUAUUGGGCAUAAUGGGCAUCUAGGCGGUUUGGUAAGUUCGAUGUGAAAAUGCGGGGCUCAACUCCGUAUUGCGUUGAAAACUACCAGACUAGAGUUUUGGAGAGGUAGGCGGAACUACAAGUGUAGAGGUGAAAUUCGUAGAGAUUUGUAGGAAUGCCGAUGACGAAGGUAGCUUACUGGACAAAUACUGACGCUGAAGUGCGAAAGCUAGGGGAGCAAACAGGAUUAGAUACCCGAGUAGU
rnacentral:rRNA from 1 species